UACGGCUACAUCAUGUUGAAACACUGCUUCUCCUACGAUCACGGAAGUUAAGCAACCUCGAAGCUAGUUAGUACCUACAUAAGUGGCCGCUUGUGAAUACCAGGUGCUGUAA